rnacentral:misc_RNA from 1 species
UCCGGCUUAACGCCGGCAGUCCCGCUAGAGUCCCCGGCUUUACCCGAUGGUAACUAACAGUAAGGGUUUCGCUCGUUAGAGGACUUAACCCGACACUUCACAGCACGAGCUGACGACAGCCAUGCAACACCUGUGCUUGUUUCACUCUUGCGAGUAGUCUCCACGCAUUACCGUAAGACAUCCAAGCAUGUCAAACCUGGGUAAGGUUCUUCGCGUUGCUUCGAAUUAAGCCACAUGCUCCACCGCUUGUGUGAGCCCCCGUCAAUUCCUUUGAGUUUUAGCCUUGCGGCCGUACUCCCCAGGCGGCACACUAACCAGUUUUCCUUCGGCGGCGGGGGCGUCAGAGCCUCCGUCACCUAGUGUGCAUCGUUUACAGCGUGGACUAC